rnacentral:tRNA from 1 species
GGUCAUGGCUCAACAGUAGAGCAAUCGCCUUGCACGUGUGAGACCUGGGUUCGAUCCUCAGCACCA